UACGUAGGGGGCAAGCGUUGUCCGGAUUUAUUGGGCGUAAAGAGCGUGUAGGCGGCCAAGUAAGUCUGCUGUGAAAACUCGAGGCUUAACCUCGAGCUGUCGGCGGAAACUAUUUGGCUAGAGUCCGGAAGAGGAGAAUGGAAUUCCCGGUGUAGCGGUGAAAUGCGCAGAUAUCAGGAAGAACACCCGUGGCGAAGGCGGCUCUCUGGGACGGUACUGACGCUGAGACGCGAAAGCGUGGGGAGCGAACAGG
rnacentral:rRNA from 1 species